rfam:Ciona savignyi cont_34667, whole genome shotgun sequence.
ACCAAGGAGUCUAACAUGUGCGCGAGCCGCGGGGCAGUACGAAACCCGUAAGGCGAAAUGAAGGUGAACGCCGGCGCGGUCCGGCGGAGGUUGGAUCCCGUCCCGUCGGGGCGGGCGCUCUACCGCCCGAUCUUCUCCGCCCUGUCGGCGAGGUCGAGCGAUAGCGUGCAAGUCGGGACCCGAAAGAUGGUAAAAUAUGCCUGAGGAGGUUGAAGCCAGAGGAAACUCUGGUGGAGGACCGUAGCGAUUCUGACGUGCAAAUCGAUCGUCAAAUUUGGGUAUAGGGGCGAAAGACUAAUCGUACCGUCUAGUAGCUGGUUCCCUUCGAAGUUUCCCUCAGGAUAGCUGGCGCUCUGUCGCAGUUUUAUCUGGUAAAGCGAAUGAUUAGAGGUCUUGGGGGCGAGACGCCCUCAACGUAUUCUCAAACUUUAAAUUGGUAAGAAGCCCGACUCGCUCGUUUGGAGCCGGGCAUGGAAUGCGAGUGCCAAGUGGGCCACUCUUGGUAAGCAGGACUGGCGAUGCGGGAUGAACCGAACGCCGGGUUAAGGCGCCCGACGCGACGCUCAUCAGAGCCCACAAAAGGUGUUGGUUGAUAUAGACAGCAGGACGGUGGCCAUGGAAGUCGGAAACCGGUAAGGAGUGUGUAACAACUCACCUGCCGAAUCAAUCAGCCCUGAAAAUGGAUGGCGCUGGAGCGUCGGGCCUAUACCCGGCCGUCGCGGCGGUACGAGCAUCGAGUUGGUGCGUUAGGCCGCGACGAGUAGGAGGGCCGCGGCGGCGGGCGUAGAAGCUAGGGACGCGAGCCCGGGUGGAGCAG